rnacentral:lncRNA from 1 species
AGGGGGGUUGCAAGUGUCCAGCCAGGCCUCCAGUCAUCAUCAGUGGCCUGCAGUGUGCCAGGACUCACAGAAAUCUCACCCCCCCACCAGCCAUGCCAGGGAAAGUGACAGGGACACUGGUCUCUCCAGAGAGGGCAGUACUCUAAAGCCAAGGGCAGAGGCAGAAGGACAACGUCUCAGUGUCACGCGUCCUUUCCGCUUCUCUGCCACCCAGGCCUGUUCUAUAAAGGAAAAACAAUGACUUAUUUAUUAGGUAAGCAUAUUCCAUACCCACCACGCACCCUGUGCUUUGUGCUGCGGGCACUUCUCAUAAACGGGGGUCCUCCUCCUGCCUACAGGAGCUGUCCCCAAACAAGGGGCCCUGAUGAAAAUCUGCAUCCUAACUCAGUGGAGAGUUAAGCUGGGAUAUGAAGACUUUGACUCAGUGUUCCCGGGGCCAAGUCUCACCGAUGGUCAGAGUGCUCUCAUUUCCCUGUGAUAAUCCAGGGACGUAUAGGAGAAAGCAGAGAACGUCAUGCAGUGGGGUGAAGAGAGGACAAUGAGGAUGGCUUGUUCCUUUGCCUGGAAACCCAGCAGAGCCCAAGACUGUAAGGGAGUCUCUUCACCAAGAGCUACUAACUGAGAGUGCUUAAUCGUGAUGAUGCUAUCAACCUAUUAACC